rnacentral:rRNA from 1 species
AUACGUAGGUGGCGCGCGUUGUCCGGAAUUACUGGGUGUAAAGGGCGUGUAGGCGGGAUGUCAAGUCAGAUGUGAAAUACCGAGGCUUAACUUCGGGGGUGCAUCUGAAACUGAUAUUCUUGAGUGUCGGAGAGGAAAGUGGAAUUCCCAGUGUAGCGGUGAACUGCGUAGAGAUUGGGAGGAACACCAGUGGCGAAGGCGGCUUUCUGGACGAUAACUGACGCUGAGGCGCGAAAGCGUGGGUAGCAAACAGGAUUAGAUACCCUGGUAGUCCACGCUGUAAACGAUGGAUACUAGGUGUAGGAGGUAUCGACCCCUUCUGUGCCGGGGUUAACACAAUAAGUAUCCCACCUGGGGAGUACGGCCGCAAGGCUGAAACUCAAAUGAAUUGACGGGG